GACCCCUUCGUCUAGCGGUUAGGACACCACCCUUUCACGGUGGUAACACGGGUUCGAUUCCCGUAGGGGUCGCCA
rnacentral:tRNA from 1 species